UACCAUAAUUGAUCAUAAUAUUUAUACUAUAAAUUUUGUAUACAUAUAUUUACAAAUAUAUUGUCCACUACUAUACUUGCCAAUUUACCUAUAUAGGCACAAAUCCUGAUACCACUAUUUGAAACACUCUUCCAAAACCCCCAAACAACCUCUAUAGCUUAAUAGUGAAGAUAGAAGGCCAAUACAUGAUCCCAGCAAGUAUAGAUGAUAAAACUAUACACGUAUGACAUUCAUCAGGAUAUAUAAUUCCAAAAAAGAAAAGAAAGAAAGAAAAAAAUGUAAAGGACGUGAUUGACAAAUCAGCCUAACUCUGAUAAAAAAGAAAGAAAGACCAGGAACAUAAAUCGUAAAUUUCAUAAUCUUAUAUCAAAAUAAUGGGGAAUAAUUUAGGAUCUCUCACCUGAUAUGGUCACAGGAAGACGAUGAUGGAGAAUCAUGGAGAGAGAUUUGGGGAACGGGUGAUGAGAGAGAAGCACAUUAGAUUUUUUUGAAAAUUGACUUUUAGCUGAGUUUGACUCAAUGUGUGGUUAUGUGGUUUUGUGAACUUGACUUAAGCAUUGACAAAUUUUAAUUGAGAAGUUAUAUUCCCAGCAUCCCUUUUCCUCUCAUUUGCUAGGUCUUCCCUUCAAUUUCUCUUUUUCCAUUUACCAUCUACAUACACAUGCAGGUCCAACUUCUUUUCUCUCUCUUGCAUAACUCGGUGUCUGGUUCAAUAGACCGACUAAUUCAAAUGACUAAUCCCACCGUAUGUCUACAAGCGAGAUCCCUUUUAACUAAAACUGAGAAAAAAUCUCAUAUGAACUGACCCAAUACAAUAAUUGAUAACAUGCAGGUAAGAGUCAAAUCUCGAUUAAAAAUUUCACGAGGAACAUAAUGAUCAAGUAACUAUCAUUGCGCCAAUACCUGGGUUUAACAUUUAUUCUCUCGGCAUAGCAACCCACUCGAUGGGUGGAGUCAAGAUUCCGAUGUGUGGAGGGCACAUUUCUAAAAUGAUAUAUAUAUAUAUAAUAUAUAUAUAUAUAUAUAUAUAUAUUUGAUAAUUAAAAGAAGUAAUUAAAUUGAAGUGCAAAUGAAAAGUAAUAUGUAGAACACAUCUACGACUUUUGAAAUUCGGAACAUGUUUCAUGACAAUUUUAUUUAUUAUGUUAUUAAAAGAAUUAGAGGUCUGUACUUUGCCAAAAUCAUGUUAUACACCCAAAGAGAGUAAGAUAAGAAAAAUAAACUCCUUGUUGUUUUUAGGUUAUAUGUGUGUAUAUAUAUAUAACGCGUAACUUGAGUUUAUUCAAGUUAUUGUACCUCUCAUUUUAAAAAAAAAAAAUUAUUGAUAAAAAAUAAAAAUAAAAUAAUUUAUCCACGUUUAUCAUUUUUGCAUAAAAAUAACUUUUAGAGAGAAUCUUGACACUGAUUUUAUAAGUUAAAGAAGGCAAUAUUAUUUCUAAAAUUACAGAGGAGUUGACUGCAUUUGUGAGUUCAGUGAAUGUUAUCCAAAAAAUAGUUAUAAAUGAAGAAAAAUAUCACUAAACUCCCAUAAUUAAAAAUUAUGAAGCGUUCAACUUAAAAUCAAUUAUAUAUACCAGAGAAACAUAGAUAAGCAGUAUGAGACAAGUGUAACAUUCAUAAAACUGGAAGCUAUACCAACAAAAAAGCGACAAAAAUCAAAUUCAACUUCUUCCGGACCAAAGUUCUUAAUGUCGGUCACCCAUAACAUAACGGAAAUUUAAACCUAUCGAUUCUCUGAUAUAAUAUUAUCACAAUCAAUCGUAAUAUUCAUAACAACCGAUUGUAAUAAAAAAAAUAUACAAUCUUUCUUUAUCGCAAAAGAUUUUAACAUUUACUACAAUAAUGUGUAAUACAUUAUUUUUUAUUAUUAUUAACAUACAUAUCCCGUAACAUUCACAACACAGAUCAUAAUGUAAAUCAUGAUUGAUCAUAAUAUUAUCACAAUCAAUCACAACACAAUCGUAAAUUUCAUAAUCUUAUAUCACAAUAACGGGGAAUAAUUUAGGAGCCCCCACAUGAUACGGUCACAGGAAGACGAGGUUGUAGAAUCAUGGAGAGAGAUUUGGGGAACGGUUGAUGAGAGAGAAGCACAUUAGAUUUUUGUCAACAUGCCCUUUGGCGGAGGUUGACUCAUGUAUUCAAUAAUACUAGGCUAGCUGCACAGAUCUAAAACAAAGAAGCAACCACAGAUGAUUGCAUGGCUGCUCGACUUACUGACUUGUGGCCCCUAUCUAACACAUGUAUUUCCCUUUAAAAAAAAGUAAAAAAGAAAUACAAAAAGUUUCAAUAAUCGUUUAGUUCAUUUUUAUAACUUAAUAAAUUAAUGUAUUACAUACAAAAAGUUUAUUCUAUCUGUAUGCAAUUAAAGAAUCCGUAAGUUCUUGAUUUGGAUCUGAUUCAAAAUUGGGUAUUUGAUUUGCUGUUGAAUCAGAGUAUUUCUGGUUUGAGUGUACUAUUGAUUUGAGAUGGGUUGUGGCUUUUGUAGUUUUCAUUGUGAUUCCUAGUUCAUGUAUUGACAGUAUUGUAGAGGUGGUUUGCGAAUUUUUAGUUGUCAUUUAGAUUUGUUUCCAAAUCGGUAAUAAGGCAUCCUGGGUUUAGUUAAUUUAUGGGUUUGUUACUUUCUUCCAUUUUGAUUGGAUCCAAUUCUGAUCAAGGAUUUGUGAAAUUGAAGGGGGAUUGUCAUUUGGUUGAGUUUGCAUUGUAACGUUUGCCCAUUCCCAUAUAAGGAGAAGCCGUAUGGGAGACUCCGUACGAGGGAUCAGUAAAAAAUUAUUUAGUGGAAACGGAUGGUGUAUGAAACUGAGACAGUGAAAACAUUUUCUGUUCUCAAAAAAUUGUUAGAAAUUACAGUGAGAAUGAAAGUUCAAAGUGGGCUGAAAUUUUCAGCUGAAUAUGGAGUUGUUAAGCAGCGCAAAGGAAUAAUCAGCCUAUAAUGGCUGUAUUUUUAGUGAAUUAAAUCCACUAAUGAGGGGGUUAUGGUGAGUUUUAUAGUCAUGUUUAUGACUGUUUAAGUUUUAUACUUUUUAACUAUAAAAAGAGGAGUUAAGUUGUUUAGAUGAAAAACAUAACAAGAAAGCAUAAAACAUUUUGAGUUUUAUUUAAGUGAAAAAGAGAUAAUCGCAGUAAACUUAUGAGGUGUUCCAAAGUUAGUGGUUCUAACCAUUUUAUCUUGAGAGGAAGAUGUCGACAAUACCCCUCGAUAGGCGGCGAAUCUUUCUUAAGAAAAAGACUACAUUUGCUGGACUCAGCAAAAUCUUUCUGUUUGUAUCUCUUAUUUUAGUUUCUAUUCAUUUCAGUUUUUGUAAUUUCAAUUUUUGUAAAUUAUUUUUAUUUACUAUAAAUUCAGUGUACUGUAAUUUAUUUUGAUUAAUGGAAGUUGUUUUUUGAAAUUCUGUAUUUGUCAAAUAUUUUUUUCAACAAUCUUAAGAAAUAUUUUUUUUAAUUAUCAGCAAAUGAAUUCCAGAAAAUAAUUUGUACAGAAACUAGUAUGAGAUGAAUAAAAGAAAAUUUAUGUUUUCAUGUUGCCCACAUCAGAACGAACAGACUACUAUUUAUCAUGAUAUCAAACAUGAGAAAUAGUACCAGAAAUAUACAGACUGUUAUUAUGAAAAUAUUCUGAAAUAUUUCUAAUAUUUUCGUUAAGAUGUUUUAGACUACUAUUGGUUUUGUUUAUUGCAGAAUUUUAUUUUAUUUUUUCCAAAUAUACAUUUAUUUUUAGAAAAUGUUUCUGCUUUAUUCAGAAACUAUUUUAGUAUUUUAAAGAAAGAAAAUAUUUUCUAUUUUUUUUCCAGAAGCUGUCCAGUUUCUGUAUAUAAAACUGUCCAUUUUUUUUAGAAACUGUUUUUGGAAAGAAACAAAAGUUUGCUGAUUUUUUUUGUUAAAAACAGAACAGUUCUAUUUCUGAAAAAAGAAAAAAAAAUUAUUUUCUGAUUAUUUUUCUGUUAAAAAACAAAACAGUUCUAUUUCUGGGAAAAGAAAGAAAAAAAAAUUCUGAUUAUUUUUCUGUUAAAAAACAAAACAGUUCUAUUUCUGGGAAAAGAAAGAAAAAAAAUUAUGUUUUCUGAAUUUUUUUUCCUGGUAAAAUCAGAACGGUUUUAAUUUUUUCAGAAAUUGUCCAGAUUCAAUAACAGUCCUGCAACUGUUUAUGAAAAAAAUCUUAUAGAAUUCAACCCAUAGGCAUUAACACUGAGUACUGUGCGAACACAAAUAAUCAGUUUUAAGUCACCGUGAGUAUAGUUUGUGGCAACAUGUGGUAAUUACUGUAUUAGCCCAUAACUAUCUAUAAUUACAGUUUUUUGUAGUUAUUGUUUUAGCCCACAUCUUUUGGAGGUUACUGUUGUAACCCAGAUUUUUAGUAAUUACAGAUUGGCCACAAUCUUUACUGUAAUUAUAAACUCUACCUACCUUUCAGGAAAAUUAUAAAAAGCUCCAUAUUUUGAUAAUUAUAGAUUUUACCCUAGUUUUGGAAAAUAACAGAUGUAUCCAGAUUUUUAAAAAAUUAUAAUUUUACCCCAAAUUCUUGAAAAUUAUAAUUUUUUACCCCUGGGUGAUCAACCGUGCACGGUUUGACCUUGAUUAGAAUUUAGAGGCUAUGACAUUAGGUAGUUGUGCACGGUUGACUUUUGUUAAAUAAGUUGUUAAUAUCUCUGUUCAUAUUCAACUAGUUGAAAGUUUUUCUCGACCAAUUGGAAAUGCAGAAAAAGUAUUAUGCUUGACCUAAACUGGUUGGAAAAAUUUUCUCAACAAGUUAGGAGUUCAAUAAGUCAGAUUUUUCCGUGAAUUGAAGGAGAUUAUGUAUAGAUUGUUAAUCUAUUCAUGUUGUCGAUAUUGUUAAAAUUUAUACAUUGAUAUGUGAUUGAUCUUUCUCAAGAAGAAAAAAAAUAUGUCGACAAAAGUUGAUGAAACGAGCACUCAAGUUCCUAUUUCUAGAAGGGCUACUGCUCCAACCCAGGUGUUCUGUCGAUUCUGAUGGCACAUGUGGAUAAACCAGGAAAGUUACGUGGGGCUGAUUUCAAAAGAUAGUAGUAGAAGAUGAUGUUUUAUCUUACGAAGCUGAAUCUCGUUGGAUGCUUGAUAGAAGAAGCUCUAGUUGUGGCUGAAAAUGAGACGGAUAGUCAAAAGGUGAUUGCGCGGGGAUCACUAGAAGAAUGCUAAUUAUCAUUGCCAUAACUACGUUCUUUAAUGCCUUGGAUGACUCUUUAUAGUAAGUGUACAAUGAGGCGAAGUCUGCUAAGAAACUGUGGAAGUCUUUAGACAAAAAAUACAAGAUCGGCAAGAAAUUUAUUGUUGGCUGGUUCCUAGAUUAUGUAAUGCAUGACAUGAAAUCGGUGACAGCUCAAUUCCAAGAGCUCUAGGUUCUCAUUAAUGAGAUCAAGGCAGAAGGAAUGCUUUUGAGUGGGGUAUUUCUAGUGGUUGCGGUCAUCCACAAGCUCCCAGAGACAUGGAAGGAAUUCAAGAGUUAUCUCAUAUUCAAGAACAAGGAGAUAACAUUGGAAGCCCUUUUCUUCAAGCUCAAUGUUGAGAAAGAAAAUCGGGCAAAAAACAAAAGUGUCAAAACCUUCUAUAUGGUCAAGGCUAACAUAAUGGAGCAUGAUCAGUCCUAGAAGAUUAAGAAAUCGAAGGACAAGUGGUCAAGUAACUAGAAAGGCAAGGGUGUCAAAUUGGGAUCAAAAAGUGCGAUUGCCAAGAAGUCUACAAAAAAGUUUCAGGGUACGUGCUUCAACUAUAAUAAGUUUGGGUAUCGUGCUUUUGAGUGUAGAAACCAAUGCAACCUAGAGCUCAUGCACAUAUGACUGAGGUCGUCAAGGAGGUAUACAUGAUAUCAACCUCUUGACAGUGGUUUCUGAAGUGAACAUGGUGGGAUCAAAUCCACAAGAAUGGUGGAUAGACACUGGGGUUAUACACCAUGUCUGUUGGAAUAGACGAAUAUUUACUACCUUCGAACCAGCGGCAAAUGGUUAAAAGAUUUUUAUGGAAAAUUCAGCCACCUCCAACGUUGUAGAGAUUGGAAAAGUAGUCAUGAAAAUGACUUAAGGAAAAGAGCUGACUCUGAACAAUAUGUUAUUCGUGCCCGAAAUCAGAAAAAAUCUGGUGUCGAGUUCUCUAUGGAUCAGACAUGGUUACCUUAUAGUCUUUAAGACAGAUAAGGUCACUCUAUCAAAGGCUGAAAUGUAUGUAGGAAAAAUGUUAUAUGAUCGAUGAUCUAUUCAAGAUGAAUGUAAUCACUGAAAUCCCUACUAUCAAUAAAAAAAAAUUCUGUUGUUUAUGUACUUGAGUCUUCUAUUUUGUGGCAUGGUAGAUUAGGACAUGUUAAUUUUGAUACUAUGCGUAGACUAAUUAACUUAAAUCACAUUCCAGUAUUUUAAAUUGAUAAAAAUCACAAGUGUGAGACUUAGUUGAAGCAAAGUUAACAAAGUCUUCAUUUUAUUUGGUUGAAAAAAUUACCAAACCAUAUUUGUUUUAAUCCACACUAAUAUGUGUGAUUUGAAGUAUGUCCAAACAUCUAAUGUAAAUAAGUAUUUUAUUACAUUCAUUGAUGAUUAUAAUAAAUAUUGUUAUGUGUACUUACUAAAAAAUAAUGAUGAAAUUUUGGACAAAUUCAUUCUUUAUAAGAAUGAAGUAAAAAAUCAACUUAGCAAGAAAAUUAAGGUUGUGCAAAGUGACCGACGUAGUGAAUAUGAAUCACCAUUUGAUGGGUAUUGUAGAAAACACGGAAUUAUCUACCAAAUCACUACCUUAUUCUCCUCAGGAGAAUGGAACUGCUGAACAAAAGAAUCGUACGCUAAAGGAUAUGAUGAAUGCUAUUUUGGUAAGUUCUGGAUAACAUGUAGGGUGAAAUAAUUCUCACCGCCAACUAUAUCUUGAAUAUAAUACCUCGUAAGAAGUUGGACAAAACCCCGUAUGAGUUGUUUAAGAGUAAGAGUCCUACUUAUAACUUUUUACGGACAUGGGAAUGUCUUGCGAAAGUGUUUAUACCUCUUCCUAAGAAGGAGAAUAUAAGUCCAAAUACCAUUGAUUGUGUGUUCAUCGGUUAUGCACAAAAUAGUAAUGCAUAUCGAUUUCUUAUGUAUGAAUUUGUGAUACUAGAUAUUCACAAGAAUACCUACAAGGAGUCUAGGAAUGCGUCAUUUUUUGAACACAUAUUUUUAUAUAGAUCUAUUGGUGAGUCUAGUUCAGUAAAACGGACUCUGCAUCUUGCUAAUGAUAGCAAUCGAGAUCAAGAAGAUGAAUUUGAAAUCCAGCUGAGAUGUAGCAAGAGAGCUAGAACGUUAACAUCUUUUGGUCCAGACUUCCUUACUUAUAUGUUAAAAAUUGAACCUCGGACAUACAAAGAAACAGUGAGCUGUCCUGAAGGUCCAUUGUGGAAAUAGGCUAUUAAGAGUGAGGUUGACUUCAUUUUGCAAAACUAUACGUGAAAAUUGGGGGAUUUGCCACUAGGAAGUAAGCCUUUGGGUUACAAAUAGAUCUUCAAAAGGAAGAUCUAUUUAAAAAAAUUAUGAUAUUAUAACAGAAAGGUACUAGUACCACACACGCAAAAGAAAAAAAAUGCAGCAAAAGAGAGUAUUGAUAUUGUGUGCAUAAUAAAUUAACAAAAAUCUAACACAUACAAAAUAAUACCCCUAUCUCCCCUCUACUUCAUCAUAGUUAGGUGCAUGUGUGCUAACUAAUUGACCAACGUCCUCAGAAGUAUUUUUCGAGAGAUGAGUAGGGCACGUAAUCAACACUAAUUUGGUUAUCGGUUUGCCACAUCUGUUGCAGUUGCAAUGAAGACUGUAGGCUUUCCACCACGUAGUCCAUCGAGGGGUGGUGGUUGGACACCCUAUUUAGACAAACGACUCACUGCUAUCUUAACGUAUUCUUUCAAGGAUUAUUCUGGUGCAAUUUUUCCAUUAAGAUACGGUUCAAUGACAUAGUCUAUAACUUCUAAUUGGAGGAUGUUUUUGAGUAAAUCGAACAGUGGCAACUUACGAUAUCCCACAAUCACCUUCAAGAACUUAUUCAAUGACUCUUUAGAAAUUAGUAUUUGCAAUAACAUGGCACCGAACGAGUACAUGUCAUGUUUUUUUUGUGUGUUUUCGACACACUAGGUCGUCCUUCGGAUCCAUAUCCCCCCAUUUUUCGUAGUACGAUAGAAAUUUAGUUGAGAUCAAGUAAUAGAAAUCUCGCAAGUAUAAUCCUAAUUAUGUAGUAUAUGAUUUUACAAAAAGAAUAUAUUUUUUAAAUUUAAUUUGUGCACAUUUUUUAUUAGGUCCUGAGAUUCGAUUCCCAACACACGUGUAAACAUACAUACAAUUUGUUUUAGAAAAAAUAAUAAAAAUAUUAUAAAACGAAGAAAACUAUCGCAAAACUCCAUAAAACUAUAAGGAUCUCCCAGCAAAAAAGCAACAGAAACAAAAUUCAACAUAUUCAAAACCAAAGUUUCAAAUAUAAAGCGAAUGCAUCAAUAUCGGUGGAUGGGUAUUGGGAAUUUAAAGUAUCAAUACAGAUAUUGUAAGGGGGCAAAAUAUACAAUGACAGAGUCUGGCCUUGCUAAGGUAGGGAGCUCUACCAAGCUAUCAAUAUGAAGUAUACUCGGUGAACCUCUGCGCCGGAGCUCGGUGUAGACACUACUGAAGACAAGCACUGUCCGAGCUAAGGCCAUCGUUACUUAUGGCUAGCGUUAGUUAGCACAUUUAGAAGAAUAAUUGCGCUAGAGUUUGGACGAGGGACAACUACCGGCGACAAGCUCGAGGGAUGUCAAAAGACAGAAGGUAACUUGCACGUUAAAGUUUUUUAUGACAGCCCUAUGCCAGGAUGGGGACAUUUGCAACAUAAUGACAGGCUACCAGCUAGGCCCUAGGAGCAUAGCUGGGUUAGCCACUUACUCACUGACACAACGGUCAAUGCGUAUGAGCAAGCGUCGAGCUGCAGUCUGUCUAAUAAUAAGAUAGCUAGCACGUUAAGGCAUGCGUCGAGCUGUGCCAUAUAAAUUUAACCUUUAUUUUUUAAAAAAGUACACGAAUUAAGUCUUGGAGACAUACUCUCCCUAUAUAAAUACGUUUUUCGGUCAUCUAACUUGAUUGUCGGGGAGCCAUUUCUUGAAAACAGCUUCGGCAGCCAUUCUCACUAUUUUUGUGUUGCAGCUAAACCUUCGCUGACUGGUGACUAACUGCAGCCAUCCGCACAGCCGUAGGACCACUUCAUGUGUCUAUCCUCGAUUUCUUUUCUCUCAUUCUAUAAACUCACACCCCACAGAUAUUUUACAUAUACCAAUGGUGAUGCAUGUGCCCUUACACGCAGUGGCGGAUCCACAGUGUCACAAGAAGGGGCUGUAGCCCCCACGACUUUCAAAAAAUUGCAAAAAUUGUUUUAGAAUUUUUUUUUUUAUACUUUAGCCCACCUAAAAUAUAUUAAAAAUUUUUUUUUACACUUUAGCCUCCUUAUUUAAAAUCCUGACUUCGCCCCUGCUUACACGUAAUAUGUUGUUCACGACUUUCAGAGAGUUACUUGGGACUUGUGUGGGCACAACCCUGAAUCCUCUUCUCAUGUGCUCGGGGACUGUAUCAGAGCUAGGAACAUUAGGCAAACGGUCCAGAUACCUUCAUCCCUCCCAGCUGACAUGGCCACUGAUUGGGCUAACUGGCUUUACUCUAGUUGUCCUGCCUCUUUCAUUCGCUCAAGUGGAAUUUCAGUUGUGUUUCCUUUUAGGCUAUGUUUGGAUGGCAGGCAUCAUGCACUACGAAUGAGAAUCAUAUUUUCUGAAAUCUUAAUUUUAUUGUUAGGAAUGUGAUACUUAAGUAAACUUAUUCAGUUGUUUGGUUUAUUCAGGAAUUCUAUUUAGAAAAAAAUUAUAAAUUUUAUUUAAGCGUUUGAUUUAACCAAUUUAAAAAAUAGGAAUAGAAUUGGUAUUUACUUUCUUUUUUGAAAACAUCAUUUUCGAUAAUAAAUUAUUUUUUUUAUUUUAGAUGUUACUUUUUUUUCUAAUUAAUAUCUUUUAGUUUUUCGAUUAGUCUUAGUUAAA
rnacentral:lncRNA from 1 species